rnacentral:tRNA from 1 species
GCUCCCAUAGCUCAAUGGAUAGAGUAUCGGCCUCCGAAGCCGGUGAUGACCGUUCGAAUCGGUCUGGGAGCA